GUACCUGGAGGGGGAACGGGGAUGAAUAGAACAGGGGGAAGACAAAGAGAGAUUGAAGCAAGUCGAGAGAAUCCGAUCAAGCCUCAUUUAUUCAGGAAGUGAUCACAUCUUUUAUAGGCCAAGGGCGGGCUGGUGGGACAGGAAGAGGCUACGGGGUGCUUUCUGAUGGGUCAUCAUCACCUCCGGGUAUGUGACGUAAGCAGGAGAGGAUUAUGGUUAAUGUAGGCAGAUGCAUCAUAUGCCCAUAGGAGAGAGAGGCAGGGAGGCAGCAAUGGGGCUGUCGCGCCACUCCCUACAACCCACCAAUAUGUCCAAGAUAGCAGAGGUGAGGCAAUUGGCUAAUCAGUCUCCCUCAGGGUUUUCUGAAAAGAUUACAAAAGGCCUAUCACAUUUAUACACCAAUAUCACCUAAAAAUGCAAGGGUCAUUAAUAUUGCCUUUAUAACUCAGUCAGCCCCAGAUUUUUACGUAAAAAUUGCAAAAGUUUGAGAGAUUUGAGAAAAUGCCCUUCCGUCAGUUAUUAGAGGUUGCUUAAAAGAUAUCUGACAACCGGGAGGACCCUAAAGACCAGGCUCAAGAGGUUUCUGCUGGGCAAAAAGACUGCAUUGGUUGUUGGACCUUCCAUUAAAAAAAAAAUAAGACUCUUUCCUCCCAGCAAAUGCAACCCAUCCAACAGAUUCCAUUCCCUGUGACUAAAAAGCAAGUGCAAAAACUUCUAGGAGCCAUAGGACUGGCCCAGAGUUUGGGACCCUGGCAGAGGCCUGUUGCCUAUCUUUCCAAGAGACUUGAUUAUGUGAUAGCCAGAUGGCCACCUUGUCUGCAGGUGAUUUCCUCGGUGGCCCUCCUGGUAAAGGAGGCUUAAAAAUUAACUUUUGGACAGAAACUCUUAAUUGUCCCCUCCUAUUUGCUGGAGACUCUCAUCAAGGCCCCACCAGACUGAUGACUGCCCAACUCCCAAAUCAUGCAUCAUCAGGCAUUAUUUCUAGAUCUGACUACCAUCAGUUUCAAGAGAACAACGGCUUCAAACCCUGUUACUCUGCUUCGUGAUGAGGUCCCUCCUUGCCCCUCCAUGACUGUAUUGUGGACCAGACUUGACAGAUGAGCCACUAUUCAGAGUUCCUUUAUAUUUCUCCGAUGGAAGUAGUUACAUCUAUCAAGGUAUUUCCCCCUUUGAGGCUUUAUAUGGGAGACCUCCUCCUCUUAUCCCUAAGAUUUCUGAGGAAAAAUUAGAUGAUUUAGCUAAUCAAGAUCUUAUUAAGUACCCCCAGACUUUUCAGCCAGUUCUGACUUCCAUCCACCAGUUAUUUUGACAACAACAUCCUCCACCUGCUGCCCACUGCAAGGAUGAACACCCUGCCAUGGAGCCUGGGACACCGGUCCUUAUCAAGAGGCAUCACUGUGAAUCUCUUGAGCUGCAAUUGGAAACGUCCCUACAUUGUAGUCCUCAGCACUCCAAUCGCUAUCAAAGUAGCCGGAAAGCCUGCCUGGAUUCAUCAUUCCCACUUCAAGUAGGUCCUGGCUUCUGAAGGUGAUCAACCUAUGGAUAAGUGGACUGUUGUUUCCUCCAAGGACUCUUUAAAGCUUAAGAUUGCCAAAUGUAACUGAUAAUCUUGUGUUCUCCCUUACAGAGACCCCAAGGAAGCCUCUGUCUGGCUUUAGAAAAAAAAUUGUUACUUGUAUGACAGAACAGAGUUAAUUUAAAUGUUGGUUUUCUUUCUCCUUUUAAUUAAUAGUUUUAAUAAUGGCAGCUGCAGGACCUUUGUUAAUCCUCCUAUUGGGCCUUGUAUUGUAAACAAGUUCAUAAACUAUGUCAAAGAUCAGGUUCAAACUAUAAAGCUUAUGAUUUUAAAGACACAAGGUUAUAAACAGAUACCUAUGUCUAAAAACCCCAUGAGCCAAUGAUUUGGAUCAUUGACUAAAAUCACUGGGGAAUGCUAUACACUAGCAAAAAGAGCUUCGUUAUGUUUAUAUGACCAAAGUACCUAUAAGGCUGCAGUACUGUUCUGUAUGCAUUUUCCCCCCUAUGGGUGACCUAAUUAAUAUCUUAAUCAAUGCUCUCAUGUUCAUCAAUGCUCUCCUCUGUAAAAAUUGUAAAUCCCUAGGAACCUAAACUAAUUGAUAUGUUAACCAUUGUUGCCCUCUACAAAUAAUAGAUGUGGCGCUAAAAUAAGCUGAUAAAAGAUUGUUAAUUACUGCUAGACUUCUCUGUCUUCUGCUAAGGGAAACAUUUCCUUAGCAGAUUUCCUGAUCCAUGCCCAUAGCCCCUUACUUUGUAAACUGUGAUAUGUACAUAAAGGCUUCAAGCUUUGACGAGAACACACAGCUUUUGCAAACUCCAACUGCACUGUGUCGCUGGGCCCAGGAUAAAAUAAAUCAGCACUGCUUUUUAAAAUAUGUUUUUGCCCCAUUUUCUGAACUUGAGUUUGGAGGCUUAUUUGUAGAUUACAAGAUUCACAGCACUUCAGGGUCUGCUGAGUGUAGCAAAUCUGGCAGAGAAUCAGCCCAGAGAAUAGAGAGAGCCCAAAACAUUUGGAGAUAUAUAUAUAAUAUAUUAUAUUAUGGAGAUAUAUAUAUAUAUUGGAGUUAUAUAUAUACAUAUAUAUAUAUAUAUAGGAGUUAUAUAUAUGGAGAUAUAUGGAUAUAUAUAUAUAUAUAUAUAUAUAUAUAUGAUAUAUAUAUAUUUUUAAAGUUCUAGUCACCAAACAGCUUGCUGUUACAGCAAAAUGGCCAAGCCCCAGAGCACUGGACAAGCGCCCCAUGGCCCCGUGGCCCCUGCUGGGCCAAGGGAAUUUCUGAUCAUCCCAAGACAUGCAAUGGAGUAUCUGCAACCUAGAGGCUAUUUGUCCUCCUACAGCCCUCUGAAGUGGGCGGCCGAGCAGACAGCUGCAGGGGGACACUGGAAGUGCUGCAGCCCAACCUGCCCACCACUUCACACAGGUGCUAUGGGCUCCCAUCAGGCCGAGCAUCCCACAGUACAGGCUCCCCCCAUGCCCAAGGCUGAAAGAUUUCAUUUGCUGCUUCUAGAAAUAUUUGUCAAGGUUGGUCAUACAGUGGUGAAGAGAUGGAGAGAUGGAGGGAAGGGCAAGAAGGGAAAGAAAAAAAGGAGGGAGAAAGAAGAAAGAGGGAGAAAAGAAGAAGGAAAAGUUUAACAUGGUUAUGAGAAGCCAGGAAACUUCAGUCCAGGGCUGAGAAUCAGGAGCCCACAGACUCCUGGGGAACAGACUUCAGAAAAAACAGUGACACCUUUAUUUUCACUCAUAUGUAGCUAAACACUAGCAAUCUCUUUCUUGGGCUUACACACAGCACUCUGCAGGGGCAGGAGCAACACCUGAGACCUGCUCACUGAUUAGAAAUCACUGUUAUCUUCACACAGCAUCACUGCUGCUCUCACAUUUGUACCUAUCACUACUUUGCAAUUAGAGGAGCUUCCAGAACCAUUGACAGAUCAUAAUGUAAAAUACAUGAAAAAUAGCACAUCUUCCCAAGAACAGGGCCGACAACUGCUUACCACUGUGACCUACUUCCUUUAAACUCAGAGUGUUUAUUCCAUGCAUUUAGGGACAUCAAGCUAGCCAGGGGUCUGCAGAUGGCAUGGCCCUGGAAGUAGGAAGAAGACCCAGCCCUAAUCACACAGACAGGGCCACACAGAGACCCCUGGCUGCCACCACUCUAGGAGACUGAGGACAGAUUCCCAGGGAGGCUGCUUCUCAGGCAUCCAUGAAAUCUUCACUCUGUUCACACUUUAUGAUAACUAAGCUGACUCAAAGGCUUGGUGAUAAUACACAGCCUGAAAGCCAUUGUGCUUGAACCCUGUGCUGCUAGCCUGGUGAGCUGGGCAUGCAGAGAGGAGAAACAAGAAGCCAGCCCCUUCCUGUGAGCCAGCUGUCGUGUGGGCUGGGAGACAAGAGACCCCUUACCAACUAGUUGAUUCGGUAAAACACAGACUGAGACGAUAGCUACUGGUGCUUGCAGUGUUUAGUGUUUGACUUUGCAGGCCUAAAGCUAGUGGUCUGAGCAUCAUUUUUAGAGGAUAACAAUGUGCAGUAUAGCAACUAAGGUAUCUCCUUCUGAAGAUGGUAGCAUUGUUAAUUCUCUAGUAUCUUGUUUUAUCGUCCUGUAUCAUUUUCAUUUUUUCGUUUGGUUUUAUUGUUUUGUUUACUUGGAUUUUAUUUUAUUUUAUGGCAUGCACAGUUAUUUCAAAGAUAACAAGAUACAUCAUGGUAGCCAUUAUUGACUUCCUAUUAUUUUGUUUUGAAGUCCUGUAUCACUUUCAUGGUUGUUUUGAUUGGUUUUAUUCUACUUUGUUUAGUUUGAUUUUAUUAUAUCUGAAAGUAUGGGCAGCUCCUUUGAAGAUGACAAGAGGUAUUAUGGUGGCCAUUGCUGAGUUUCUAUUAUCUUGUUUUCAAGCCCUGUAUCACUUUCACUGUUUUGUUUUGGUUGGCUUUGUUUUAUUUUGCUUAGUUUUACUCCCUUUAAAAUAAAAUUUUUAAAAUUUUACAAAAAAAA